AGAGUUUGAUCAUUGCUCAUGAUGAACGCUGACAGAAUGCUUAACACAUGCAAGUCAACUUGAAUUUGGGUUUUUAACUUAGAUUUGGGUGGCGGACGGGUGAGUAACGCGUAAAGAACUUGCCUCACAGCUAGGGACAACAUUUAGAAAUGAAUGCUAAUACCUGAUAUUAUGAUUUUAAGGCAUCUUAGAAUUAUGAAAGCUAUAAGCACUGUGAGAGAGCUUUGCGUCCCAUUAGCUAGUUGGAGAGGUAACAGCUCACCAAGGCGAUGAUGGGUAGCCGGCCUGAGAGGGUGAACGGCCACAAGGGGACUGAGACACGGCCCUUACUCCUACGGGAGGCAGCAGUGGGGAAUAUUGGACAAUGGACCGAGAGUCUGAUCCAGCAAUUCUGUGUGCACGAUGAAGUUUUUCGGAAUGUAAAGUGCUUUCAGUUGGGAAGAAAUAAAUGACGGUACCAACAGAAGAAGUGACGGCUAAAUACGUGCCAGCAGCCGCGGUAAUACGUAUGUCACGAGCGUUAUCCGGAUUUAUUGGGCGUAAAGCGCGUCUAGGUGGUUAUGUAAGUCUGAUGUGAAAAUGCAGGGCUCAACUCUGUAUUGCGUUGGAAACUGUAUAACUAGAGUACUGGAGAGGUAAGCGGAACUACAAGUGUAGAGGUGAAAUUCGUAGAUAUUUGUAGGAAUGCCGAUGGGGAAGCCAGCUUACUGGACAGAUACUGACGCUAAAGCGCGAAAGCGUGGGUAGCAAACAGGAUUAGAUACCCUGGUAGUCCACGCUGUAAACGAUGAUUACUAGGUGUUGGGGGUCGAACCUCAGCGCCCAAGCAAACGCGAUAAGUAAUCCGCCUGGGGGAGUACGUACGCCAGUAUGAAACUCAAAGGAAUUGACGGGGACCCGCACAAGCGGUGGAGCAUGUGGUUUAAUUCGACG
rnacentral:rRNA from 1 species